rnacentral:lncRNA from 1 species
GUGGUUAGCGGUGGUCGUUGGAGGUGGUUGGCGGCGGUUGCGGGUGAUCAAGAUGGACGAGGUGGAGGACGAGGACGACGAGGACAACAAGGUGGACGAGGAGGACAAGGAUUUGUGCACGGAUUCGAGUUAUAACUCGAGGUGGUUAGCGGUCGUCGUUGGAGGUGAUCGGAGGUGGUUAGGGGUGGUUGCGGGUGAUCGAGGUGGAGGCCGAGGAGAAGAAGGACGAGGAUGACGAGGAUUUGUGUACGGAUUUGAGUUACAACCCGACGUGGUUAGUGGUGGUCGUUGGAUGUGAUCGGAGGUGGUUAGGGGUAGUUGCGGGUGAUCAAGGUGGACGAGAUGGAGGCCGAGGAGAAGGAGGACGAGGAUGACGAGGAUUUGUGUACUAUAAAUAUACCACUUAUAUGAUAUUCAACAGAGUGGGAGUAGGAGUAGGAGUACGAGUAGAAAAAGGAGUAGGAUCGGGAGUAGGAGUAGGAAUAGCAGUAGGAGUAGAAGUAGGAGUAGAAUUAGGAUCGGGAGUGAGAUCAGAAGUAGGAGUAGAAAUAGGAGUAGGAGGAUAAUCUAAAAAGAGGGAUACAAUAUCAAAUAAUCACGACCAGCUAGUUAUAAGUAUCGUUUAGAAUAGAAUAACACACGAUUU